rnacentral:rRNA from 1 species
CAAUAGCGUAUAUUUAAGUUGCUGCAGUUAAAAAGCUCGUAGUUGGAUUUCGGGUGGGAAUGGCCGGUCCGCCGUUUCGGUGUGCACUUGCUACGCCCACCUUGCUGCCGGGGACGUGCUCUUGAGUUCACGCUCGGGACACGGAGUCGGCGAGGUUACUUUGAGUAAAUUAGAGUGUUCAAAGCAGGCCUACGCUCUGAAUACAUUAGCAUGGAAUAACACGAUAGGACUCCUGUCCUAUUUCGUUGGUCUCGGGACGGGAGUAAUGAUUAAGAGGAACAGUUGGGGGCAUUCGUAUUUCAUUGUCAGAGGUGAAAUUCUUGGAUUUAUGAAAGACGAACUUCUGCGAAAGCAUUUGCCAAGGAUGUUUUCAUUAA